rnacentral:rRNA from 1 species
UACGUAGGUGGCGAGCGUUGUCCGGAUUUACUGGGCGUAAAGGGAGCGCAGGCGGACUUUUAAGUGAGAUGUGAAAUACUCGGGCUCAACUUGAGUGCUGCAUUUCAAACUGGAAGUCUAGAGUGCAGGAGAGGAGAAUGGAAUUCCUAGUGUAGCGGUGAAAUGCGUAGAGAUUAGGAAGAACACCAGUGGCGAAGGCGAUUCUCUGGACUGUAACUGACGCUGAGGCUCGAAAGCGUGGGGAGCAAACAGG